rnacentral:rRNA from 1 species
UACGUAGGGUGCAAGCGUUAAUCGGAAUUAUUGGGCGUAAAGGGCGCGUAGGCGGUGCGGUAAGUCUGAUGUGAAAUCUCCGGGCUCAACUCGGAGUCUGCAUCAGAAACUGCCGGGCUUGAGUAUGGGAGAGGUGAGUGGAAUUCCUGGUGUAGCGGUGAAAUGCGUAGAUAUCGGGAGGAACACCCGUGGCGAAGGCGGCACUCUGGGACGGUACUGACGCUGAGACGCGAAAGCGUGGGGAGCAAACAGG